UUCUUACACAAAUUGACUAAGUCCCACGGUAAGCUCAAGAAAGCUUGUGUUGUGGGUACUCAGACAACGAUAUAUAUAAUAUAUAAAUACUUAAAUACAUAGAAACAACCAUGACUCAGGAACAAAUAUCUGUAUCAUCAUACAAAUAAAUGCCCUUACCAGGAUUCGAACCCGGGACCAUCGGCUUCAUAGGCAGGGUCACUACCCACUAGGCCAGACCGGUCUUGAAAGUUAGGUCAUUAGAUAGGUAUUUCUAUGUACUUCAUUUUGUUCUAUGGGCACCAAGCGGAAUUCCAUUGCAGAACUGAGAAAUUGGUAUUUUAGUCAAAAUGUCGUCACCCUUAUUACCUAGGCAAUAGAGUCCACCGCCGGGCGAGCGCGGCAAAUCAUUCAGUGUGCUCGCCCGGCGGUGCGCGAACAUCUACCCUGCAGCAAUUAAUUUACUUACUUGGACUCUAUUGCCUAGGUAAUAAGGGUGACGACAUAUUGGCUAAAAUACCAAUUUCUCAGUUCUGCAAUGGAAUUCUGCUUGGUGCCCAUAGAAUAAAAUGAAGUACAUAUAAAUACCUAUCUAAUGACCUUACUCUCAUUUCUGUUGGCGUUGGGUCCAGGCUCCAUACAAA